rnacentral:tRNA from 6 species
GCCCGCGUAGCUCAGUUGGAUAGAGCGCCUGGCUUCGGACCAGGAGGUCGUGGGUUCAAUUCCUGCCGCGGGCACCA